GACGUAGGGCGCGAGCGUUGUCCGAUUUAUUGGGCGUAAAGAGCUCGUAGGCGGCUUGUCGCGUCGACCGUGAAAACUCACAGCUCAACUGUGAGCUUGCGGUCGAUACGGGCAGGCUCGAGUUCGGUAGGGGAGACUGGAAUUCCUGGUGUAGCGGUGGAAUGCGCAGAUAUCAGGAGGAACACCGGUGGCGAAGGCGGGUCUCUGGGCAGUAACUGACGCUGGAGGAGCGAAAGCCGUGGGGAGCGAACAGG
rnacentral:rRNA from 1 species